CACGUAGGGCGCGAGCGUUGUCCGGAAUUAUUGGGCGUAAAGAGCUCGUAGGCGGCCUGUUGCGUCCGCUGUGAAAGCCCGGGGCUUAACCCCGGGUCGGCAGUGGAUACGGGCAGGCUAGAGGUAGGUAGGGGAGAAUGGAAUUCCCGGUGUAGCGGUGAAAUGCGCAGAUAUCGGGAGGAACACCGGUGGCGAAGGCGGUCACUUCGGUCCUUG
rnacentral:rRNA from 1 species